rnacentral:tRNA from 1 species
GGCUGGUUAGCUCAGUCAGUUGAGCAUAGCACUAGCAAUGUUAAGGUCGCGGGUUUGAUUCCCAUUCGGUUG